UACGAAGGGUGCAAGCGUUACUCGGAAUUACUGGGCGUAAAGCGUGCGUAGGUGGUUGUUAAGUCUGAUGUGAAAGCCCUGGGCUCAACCUGGGAAUGCAUUGGAUACUGGCAGGCUAGAGUGCGGUAGAGGAUGGCGGAAUUCCCGGUGUAGCAGUGAAAUGCGUAGAGAUCGGGAGGAACAUCUGUGGCGGAAGGCGGCCAUCUGGACCAGCACUGACACUGAGGCACGAAAGCGUGGGGAGCAAACAGG
rnacentral:rRNA from 1 species